AAGAGCUUCAUCAGGUUAAGAUUUUUUCUUUAUUCAGGUUCAAGCUACGCCAAGCUUGAUUCACAUGACCAGGUUGAUAAUUCAAAUCCUUCUGUAUGUGGUCCUGUAUUGGAUACAGAUUCAACAAGCAGCCAUGUGACAUAAUUAUCUCAGAAUUCACGUGGCCUGUUCCUAAUAUUAGUAAUCAUACAGACCUGCCUCAUCCAUCCCAAUGCCCUACUUCUGGUUGGCGUCUCAUCACUUGGAGGUCACUCAUUGCUGCUGUGGUGGCUUUGCCUGGACACCCUGGAGAUACAUAAGAUAACUGUGGAUAAUACUAUUCGCAAACCAUGAGGAUGUCUUAGGUUUAAAAGCACCGUACGAAGAACAGCAACCGUGGGGACUAUUUUCAGUGGACGAAGAAAUCAGUGAUGCCCUCUAUAUUUAAAGGACUGACUUGUGUUCGAAGCAGUUGCCUAAAACGAAUGUGGCUACACCGACGAAGAAAUAGACUCAAGUGAAUUCCAUAACACAGCAAUCCCACUGCUCCUGGCUCCUGUCCUGUACCCACUCAUCACUCAUCAAGCUAGCCAUCUGGCCUUUUUCUUCACCUUCUCAACCUGAUCAUGUACAGCAACAAGCUGAGAAAUCUGUGCUGAAGACUUGGACAACUUGGAAUUUUCACUUAACUUGUUUCUUAUCAUCAAGAGAGAGAAAA